rnacentral:lncRNA from 1 species
CUAAAACGACAACUAAACUGAAACGGAGAGAGUAAUAUAUUAUGAGAUAUGAGCAUUUGCACCUUCUACACAUGCGAAAAACUGGACAUGUUGAAUGUGACACUUAAGAUUUGAAUUUGGAUCUGGUACCACUGUCUAAUCAUACUUGGGCCUGCAGAUAAAUGGGACACGGAUGAGAUCCUGCAUUAUAAGUAUCACGGUUGUGUUAUAGACGACAUAAUGUAUCGCUAUAAACGUGGUAAAAAUAUUUUGAUAACGUAUGAUCUAAAGCAAAGAAUUUGGGGGGAGGUGAAGGGUCUUGAAAAAUUACCCUUAAUAAGUUCAAAGUCAACGAUGAUUAGUUGCGGUAAAAAGUUGAUAUUGUUCUUGGAGAAGGGUGUCCAGAAAAAAGAAAUUUGGUGUGCAGAGAUUACGGUUGAAAGGCGCGAAGGAGAGAUUUGGGGAAAGAUUGAGUGUUACGAUCUUUUGCUUGAUGGCUGUUUUUGCUUUUUUCAUUGUCUAGCUGUUCCUGUUUAAUACAUCAAAAAUUUGAAUGAUUGCACUGACCUAAAAACUAUAUAGUUACUUUUCCCAUAGUUUUUUUUAAAACGUGAUUCCGCUGAGUAAAUAUCAGUCAGUAUACUAUGGCUUUGAUUGUUAUGACAGAAAUUUGGCAGUCCAACGUGUGAGACAGGUG